GUCGAACGAAGCAUUUUUUGAGAUUCUUCGGAUGAUCGAUUGGUGACUGAGUGGCGGACGGGUGAGUAACGCGUGGGUAACCUGCCCUGUACAGGGGGAUAACAGCUGGAAACGGCUGCUAAUACCGCAUAAGCGCACGAGGAGACAUCUCCUAGUGUGAAAAACUCCGGUGGUACAGGAUGGGCCCGCGUCUGAUUAGCUGGUUGGCAGGGUAACGGCCUACCAAGGCAACGAUCAGUAGCCGGUCUGAGAGGAUGAACGGCCACAUUGGAACUGAGACACGGUCCAAACUCCUACGGGAGGCAGCAGUGGGGAAUAUUGCACAAUGGGGGAAACCCUGAUGCAGCAACGCCGCGUGAGUGAAGAAGUAUUUCGGUAUGUAGAGCUCUAUCAGCAGGGAAGAUAAUGACGGUACCUGACUAAGAAGCUCCGGCUAAAUACGUGCCAGCAGCCGCGGUAAUACGUAUGGAGCAAGCGUUAUCCGGAUUUACUGGGUGUAAAGGGUGCGUAGGUGGCAGUGCAAGUCAGAUGUGAAAGGCCGGGGCUCAACCCCGGAGCUGCAUUUGAAACUGCUCGGCUAGAGUACAGGAGAGGCAGGCGGAAUUCCUAGUGUAGCGGUGAAAUGCGUAGAUAUUAGGAGGAACACCAGUGGCGAAAGGCGGCCUGCUGGACUGUUACUGACACUGAGGCACGAAAGCGUGGGGAGCAAACAGGAUUAGAUACCCUGGUAGUCCAC
rnacentral:rRNA from 1 species